UACAGAGGUCUCAAGCGUUGUUCGGAUUCAUUGGGCGUAAAGGGUGCGUAGGUGGUGAUGCAAGUCUGGUGUGAAAUCUCGGAGCUUAACUCCGAAAUUGCACCGGAUACUGCGUUGCUCGAGGACUGUAGAGGAGAUCGGAAUUCACGGUGUAGCAGUGAAAUGCGUAGAUAUCGUGAGGAAGACCAGUGGCGAAGGCGGGUCUCUGGACAGUUCCUGACGCUGAGGCACGAAGGCCAGGGGAGCAAACGGG
rnacentral:rRNA from 1 species